rnacentral:lncRNA from 1 species
ACGAUAUGGUAUUUGGGAAAAUUGAAAAGGUAUUUUCCUUUUCUCGUUUAAACAUUUAUCCAAAAUUGAUCGAUAAGCUGUUGGCGACAAAUUUUUUUUUGGAAUUCAUCUGGGGUAUUGUUCAUUUGUUCCAUCGUCGUCCUGCUGCCUCUGUGAAGUCGUCUCUGAAAGCAGGGACCAUCUGAGAAAUCUGGUUUUUGGUUCUUCAAAGGAUAAGCUACAGAACAUUGGGAUUCUCAGGAUAGGUCUGAGAAAUCUGGAAUGCUUUCUCUGACUAGCUUUCAUUGAGGGACUCAUUGCUCCCGAACCCGUAAGUUCAUUGCUGCACACGCUACAAUUUGCAAUAUUUGGACCAAAAGAAACAAGCGCUUACAACGGUGGUCUUCAAGAUUAUUGACAUGACUGUAGGUGACAUCAUCAUGGGC